rnacentral:lncRNA from 1 species
CCCGUUUGAACAACCCGGGCCGUUGUGGGGGCGGCCGCGCGCUCGCUCCCCCCCCCGCCGCGCAGAGCCAGACGCAGCGGCGGGCGGGGACAAGAUGGCGCCGCCCCCCAAGUGAACACCCAGCGCUGCCUCUCGGAGAGCCCGUCAAGGCUGCCGCGCUGCAGAGUUCUGGAUCAGAUACCACCUGAGGAGCCUCUGAGAAACAUUUAAGAAACUUUCCUGAUGCAGGUUUGGAAAGCACCAAUACCAGCAGGAAAGCAAGAAAGGAAAUGAAAUACAGCACUACUGUAGAAACAAAGAAAGGAUCAUCUGUUGUCCAGAAGGGUUCAGUUCCAUUACCAAGUUUAUCUUCUAGUCAUGUGAAGAGAAAAAGUAAAAAACAGUUCUCAGAAAAUGUAAACAAACCUAUGGUUUUAAAACCAGCAACUCUAGUGGAAUCUUACUUAGAUCAGUCCUUACAGAUUUCAUCUCUAAAUAAAGAUGGUAUGCUGGAUGAACUGCAGAUGCUAGGUGAUAUCACUAAACAUCUAAAUCAGCAGAAAGAUCAUGAGGAUAUGACUGAGUCACUGUUGUGUUUCUCAACAAUCUCAUCACAGUUAGAAGCAUCAUUUGAUGAAGAAAGAGAAGUAUGUAAUGUGAAACUUAUUUCUUUGAUUCUCAUUACAAUGUAAUGAAGAUAAAUUUAAGAACUGUGUCUACAGAUUUCUACUUGUGGAAAGCUUUUACAGUUCUGCAGUCAGGACAUUUUUUAUGUCAAG